rnacentral:rRNA from 1 species
GACGAACGCUGGCGGCGUGCUUAACACAUGCAAGUCGAACGAUGAACCACUUCGGUGGGGAUUAGUGGCGAACGGGUGAGUAACACGUGGGCAAUCUGCCCUUCACUCUGGGACAAGCCCUGGAAACGGGGUCUAAUACCGGAUAACACUGUCACGGGCAUCUGUGGUGGUUAAAAGCUCCGGCGGUGAAGGAUGAGCCCGCGGCCUAUCAGCUUGUUGGUGAGGUAAUGGCUCACCAAGGCGACGACGGGUAGCCGGCCUGAGAGGGCGACCGGCCACACUGGGACUGAGACGCGGCCCAGACUCCUACGGGAGGCAGCAGUGGGGAAUAUUGCACAAUGGGCGAAAGCCUGAUGCAGCGACGCCGCGUGAGGGAUGACGGCCU